ensembl:lncRNA
CAUUGGGAGCCUAUAUCUAUAUGUAUAUAUUUAUUUAUGUAUUUAUUUAUUUUCUUUUUUUCUUUUUUUUUUUUUACAGUGCCCAGUACUGAACCUUUGAGUGGUGUAUGAUUUACAAGGGGAAUGACAGUCCGGUGCUGCUAGGAAGAGUACUGCCAGACCAUAACAUAGCAUAUCUGUGGGAUACGAUGACAAUAAUCGGUCUCGAAGGAGGAAGAAAAUAUUGCCUGGAGGUCUGACUGCUGACCCUGAGGAAAAUCUCC